UGUGAUUUGUGCAUCUUCAAAAACGGUAUAUGUGUUUGAUCCUUUGAAAAAUACAAGGCACUUUGAAGUCAAAAUUUAUUUGAAUAUGGCAUUUCGAUCUCUUUCUACAAUUGGAGGAAGAACUAAAGCGAUUGAUUGGAAGCAAUGCAAAUGUCCACAACAGCCGGGAGGCACUGAAUGUGGAUAUUAUGUACUAAGAUACAUGUUAGAGAUCGUUACUAAGUAUUCAAGGUUGAUUGUCUACAUGGGAUAUUUGAUAAUGAAGCACCCUACUCCUUGAACGACAUAGAUGAAGUUCGAGAGUUGUAGGCAGAAUAUUUUCUAGAAGAGUGUGUGUAAAUUUAUUUAGUUU